rnacentral:lncRNA from 1 species
CAAUGGUUAAGGUCUGACUGUGCUGCAUCAAGCACCAAGGGAAAUGCAAAAAGGAACAAGGGUUUGUCCUUGUCCUUAAAAAAGCUCUCCAACCUUAGUCCAGGAGACAAACCUGUAAACAAACAAUAAGGCGUGAAUCAGGGGAAUGUGGAUGAGUCCUGGGAGGUGACAGGCAAUGAACUUGGCGGAGGAAGGGCUCCAAGCUGGAAACAGGUACUAAUUAUGUAGGGGGUGGGGGGGAGAGUCUUCUAUUUUUAAAUCCCCCCCCCCUAGAAUGAGCCAUACUUGAAAACCCCACCUAGAUAAGAAGACAGGGAGUCAUAUAACGCUUAGCCCACAAUGCUUAUUUUUAAAAGUCAUAUAAUACUUGAGACAUCUGAUUACAAUACUUGAGAUGAAAUUAUUUUUCAGUUCUUGGCUUAUUUUCCCUCUAUACACUCUCAUUAGGUCUGGAGCAGUUUCAAGUAGCGUUUUCAUAAAUGGCUUAGCUAUGGGAAAAAAAGACACAAUAUGGGGGGGGUAAAUUUUUAUAUACUACCUAGAGAUGAUUUUGCAAUAUGUAAGAUCAAAAGCCACAAUAUGUGUUUAUUGAAAGUUCUAGCCAGGCAGCCUCUAGGCAAGUCUGUCCUAGGACUAGGAUCAAACAUGUAUAAAAAGAUUUUACUACAGGAAUGCUUUGUCACAAACUUAUUAUUGCAGCACGCUGCUACAAAUGCAUAAACACAGAAAUGGGCACAAAAUUGUAAAUCAACUAUAAUUUUAAAAAUUUAAAUUUAAAAAAUUUAAAAAAUUUAAAUUUAAAAACCGGAGUUCCCGAUGUGGCGCAGUAGUUAACGAAUCCAACUAGGAGCCAUGAGGUUGGUUGCGGGUUCGAUCCCUGCCCUUGCUCAGUGGGUUAACGAUCCAGCGUUGCCGUGAGUAGAAAUGGCAAAAUAAAUAAAUAAAUAAAUAAAUAAAUAAAUAAAUAAAAGGCUUUACAAUAAAAAAAAGGCUUUAAAAACCUAUAUGGUUACUCUUCAGGUAAAUUCAACAUGACAUUUGUCCUAUCAAACAACUAAUUCCUUUUUAAGCAGCUAAAUAUUCACCUACAUCUGUUUUGCAGUAAUUGUGAAUGCAAGCAAAGGCAAUGGAUGAAAUUCAGAUAUAACUGUUUAUAAUUUUCUAUUACUGCUCUUUUUCUUUUUUCUUUUUUUUUUUUUUUUUUUGGCUUUUUAGGGCCGAAUCUGUGGCAUAUGGAGGUUCCCAGGCUAGGGGUCCGACGGGAGCUAUUGCCACCAGCCUACACCACAACCACAGCAACACAGGAUCUGAGCUGCUUCUGUGACCUAUACCACAGCACCGCUGAAUCCUUAACUCACUGAGCCAGGCCAGGGAGCAAACCUGCAUCCUCAUGGAUCUUAGUCGGGUUCAAUAAACACUGAGCCACGACAGGAACUCCCUUCAAUUAUUGCUCUUAAUUCAUUGUUUUCAUCACACCCUAUUUUUUGUAUCUACCUUGCACUUUAAAUUGUCUGUGAAAUUUUUUAACGUGGUUGUCUAAAAGUGUUUGGUGAUGAACUUAGAUUUUUUUUUUUUGGCAACUUUCCUCCAUGGCCAUUUGCCUCAAAGACCUUUCACUCAAGCCAAAGUGUUGUUUGUUUGUUUCCUAAAUUCUGGCAAUACAAAAGCUCUCACAAGUGCCAACUUAACUUUAACAAUGGCAAAAAAAAAAAAAAAAAAAAAGGCUUCUUUACUGGCUUCAGUUACUUUCACUUUUAUUGGUCAGAAAUGAUAGAAGUAAGUGUAUGGGGUUGAUGUCACAUGGCAAAAAUGCAGGUUAAGUUACUCUUCCAUGAGAGAGCUAUAAAGGAAGCAUGAAACAUGUCUAUGCCAAUGUUUAAAUUACUUUCAGGAGUUUCACUGGCACUCCUACUUCAUAAUCCAACUUCUUGGGUAUCUUGUCUAAUUUCUUUCGAUUUUUGAGAAAAUGCACAUGUUUGUAUCACAUAGGUCUUAACCAUUAUGGAAUAUCUUGAUUUAUUUGUGGGAAAAAUCUUUUCAAAUUCUUAGUAACAAUAUGCCAUCGACUCUACUGUCUCCGUCACCAUCAUCUUCUCUCUGUCUUGUAUCAGAAGGUGGCUUUUAAGCCAAAACGUUACUUUUUUUAUCUACAGAUGGUUUGAUAUGCUUUGCCGCAUGGAGAACCUGGCUGCCUUUUGGCUGGUACACUUUUCCAGCUAAAAAUGAGAAAUCGAAGACAGAAAGCUGAGUAGAAACACAGGAUGGGGAAUUCACAUACACUUUUACAGAAUUUUUUUUUUCCUCUAAGAGAUCUGAAUAGUCAGCAUGCUAGUAGCUUUCUGAUUUGAAUAAAAAUAGACAUCACUAUUUUAAUUUCACACACACACACAUACCCCUAUGGAAUUUAAUUUACCAAGAAGGGAGGGAAAGAAGAAAGAAAGGAAGAAAAAAA